CCAGUUCAGGUACAUCAACAAGGCGC
rnacentral:piRNA from 1 species